ensembl:lncRNA
AUCAUAGAUUCAGAGGGGAAUGUGCAGAUUUGUUACAUGAGCAUAUUGCGUAACGCUGGGGUUUGGGCUUCUAGUAACCUAUCACUGAAAUAGUGAACACAGUAUCCAGUAAGUAGUUUUUCCAAGCCUUGCUCCCUCAUUCUCUCUCCCUUUUUGGAGUUCCCAGUUUCUAUUGCUUCCAUUUUGUGGAGAACCCAUUCUUUAGUUCUGACUUGCAAGUGAGAAUAUGUAGUAUUUGAUUUUCUGUUUAUGCAUUAAUUCACUUAGGAGUAUUGUCUCCAGCUCCAUUUAUGUUGCUAAAAGGAUGAUAUUUUUUUAAUGGCUAUGUAGUAUUCCAUGGUGUGCAUGUGUCACAUUUUCUUUAGCCAGUACACCACUGAUGGACACAGAGGUUGAUUCCAUGCCCUUGUUAUUGUGAAUAGUGCUGUGAUAAACACAUGAGUGCAAAUGCCUUUUUUUUUCAGGUCAGAUGGAUGAUGUGCUGAUGUCUUAACAAGGUUCAGUGGAUGGCACAACUCACACCUGUGUGUGAACACCCAAUCAUCAUGCUCAUAAACUACAAAAGGAUCUGCAGGUGUCUUUUUGAUAGAACAAUUUGUUUUCUUUUAGGACACAAUUGGAGAAAUUUAUUUUACCAAGGCUUUGACUGGAAUGGUGUGUUGUCCUUUAAGGAAUCAAACUUGACUUAUGGAGCCAUUAAAAGCACUUGGAAAAACUGGCCUCAUACUUUACACAGUCUCUGUGCAUGGUUUCUGACCUGUGGAUAUGAGAUUUCACAACCUGCUAAAAAUGAACUUUCAGGACCUACCCAUCCAGGAAUAAAUUAUCCUAGCUAUGAAAGAUCAGUUUCAGGUAUGUCUGUAUCAGCAGCAUGAAAACGAACUAAUACAGAGAUUGCUACUAGUAGAGUGGGGAGUUGCUGAAAAGAUACCUGAAAAUGUAAAAGCAGCUUUGGAACUGGGCAUCAUGCAGAGGCUGGAACAGUUUGGAGGGCACAGAAGAAGACAGGAAAAUGUGG